rnacentral:rRNA from 1 species
GACGAACGCUGGCGGCGUGCCUAAUACAUGCAAGUCGAACGCAGUGGGGACGGGUGAGUAACACGUGGGUAACCUCCCAUCAGAGGGGAUAACACUUGGAAACAGGUGCUAAACCGAUACUGAUGGAUGGACCCGCGGUGCAUUAGCUAGUUGGUGAGGUAACGGCUCACCAAGGGCACGAGGCAUAGCCGGCCUGGAGGGGUGAUCGGCAACACGGGGACUGGAACAGGGCCCAGACUCCUAGGGGAGGCAGCAGUAGGGAAUAUUCGGCAAUGGACGAAAGUCUGACCGAGCAACGCCGCGUGAGGGAAGAAGGUUUGCGGAUCGUAAGACUCUGUUGUUAGAGAAGGGGUAUCUAACCAGAAAGCCACGGCUAACUACGUGCCAGCAGCCGCGGGAAUG